rnacentral:rRNA from 1 species
GGUGAACGCUGGCGGCGUGCUUAAGACAUGCCAGUCGAACGGGCUCUUCGGAGCCAGUGGCGCACGGGUGAGUAACGCGUAACUGACCUACCCCAAAGUCGCGGAUAACGAUUCGAAAGAAUCGCUAAUACGUGAUGUGCUGUCAGAUCCUGUUCUGCCAGCAAAGAUUUAUUGCUUUGGGAUGGGGUUGCGUUCCAUCAGCUAGUUGGUGGGGUAAAGGCCCACUAAGGCGACGACGGAUCGCCGGCCUGAGAGGGUGGCCGGCCACAGGGGCACUGAGACACGGGUCCCACUCCUACGGGAGGCAGCAGUUAGGAAUCUUCCACAAUGGGCGAAAGCCUGAUGGAGCGACGCCGCGUGAGGGAUGAAGGUCUUCGGAUCGUAAACCGCUGAAUCAGGGACGAAAGACGCGAAAGCGGGAUGACGGUACCUGAGUAAUAGCACCGGCUAACUCCGUG